rnacentral:rRNA from 1 species
UACGUAGGAGGCAAGCGUUGUUCGGAAUUACUGGGCGUAAAGCGCGUGUAGGUGGUGGGACAAGUCUGCUGUGAAAGCGCCUGGCUUAACCGGGCGAGGUCGGCGGAAACUGUCCGACUAGAGGACGGUAGAGGGGGGUGGAAUUCCCGGUGUAGUGGUGAAAUGCGUAGAGAUCGGGAGGAACACCUGUGGCGAAGGCGGCCCCCUGGGCCGGCCCUGACACUGAGACGCGAAGGCGUGGGGAGCGAACCGG